CGGGGAAUAGCUCAGUUUGGAAGAGCGCUUGGUUCGGGACCAAGAGGUCGCGGGUUCAAAUCCUGUUUCUCCGA
rnacentral:tRNA from 1 species